CUCCAACCCAAGAUGGACAUAGGCUAGAAUCUUCCUGGUUCCUGCCCUGCUUGAGUUCCUGUCCUGAAUUUCUUCAGGGAUAAACAGCAUAUCUACACCACAGUGGAUUCAUGAAGCUGACCAGACUGGGCUCAAACUCAUAGAGAGCCACCUGCCUCUGCCUCUGCGUGUGGG